rnacentral:rRNA from 1 species
UACGGAGGAUCCAAGCGUUAUCCGGAAUCAUUGGGUUUAAAGGGUCCGUAGGCGGUUUGGUAAGUCAGUGGUGAAAGCCCAUCGCUCAACGGUGGAACGGCCAUUGAUACUGCCAGACUUGAAUUAUUAGGGAAGUAACUAGAAUAUGUAGUGUAGCGGUGGAAAUGACUUAGAGAUUACAAUGGAAUACCAAUUGACGAAGG